rnacentral:lncRNA from 1 species
GUUUUUUUUUUUUUUGUUUGGUGGGGUGUGUUUAUUAUGUGUUUUAAUGUAAAAUGAUGAUUUAUGUUUUAAAGUCUUUUGAAGUUGGAUAAUGUGGUCGUCUUAUGUUUAAAAUUUUAAUUAAUAAGUUAUGCGGGGAUGGGGAUACCCAUUGGUAUUUGAAACCCACGAGUAUUCGAAAUCCACGAGCUUGAGAUGUGUAUGAAUAUUGAUAUUUGGAUGAGGACGAGGAUGGGGAUGAAUUUUAUAAAUAGGUAUAGAGAUGGGUAUAGGUAUCUCGUCCGAAACCCGCCCCAUUGCCAAGUGUAGUUGUGAAAAUGAAGAACAAAUCAAGGGUAGUUUGGGGAUUUGAAAAAUAAUAGAGUGUUAGAACAACCCGCUAAUUGAAAUACCACACCCCAACCCAAGUAUUUCAAAUACCAUCAAAACCCACUAUUUCAAAUACCUCAUGCCAAAAUACUACUGAUUCUGUUUCAAAUGCCGAACGUGAUAUUUUAGCUCAAAUACCACUUCCAAAUACUCAAUCCAAACGAGGCAUAAAUUUUUAUUAUAUGCGUGUGAUUAUACAAAACCCAAAUCAAUUAGUAGUGCCCUAGCUACCGGUUAAUAUAAGUCUAAUAAAUUGAUAAAAACAUAUAAAUCUCUAACAAAGCAUAUUAAUUUGUAACUGUCCCAAAUUGAUUCCAGUGAAUAGUUCAAUACUUUAGAUGUAUACGAGGAAGGCAAGCCAAUGGAGCCCGAUCUAUUUGUAGUUGUAAUAAAUGAUCCAACACAAUUAUACAUAUUACCUCGAACAUCCCAACGGUAAAUACGUACGUAGUUGAAAAAAAUAUCGUCGGCGGCCGGCGACUAGUACUGAACUAGCUUAACCACCAGAUGUCCGGAAACGAAAUGCCAUUAAGAAUGAUGCCCUCUUCAGGGCAACUAAAUUGUAUCUCCACCGUCCAAUUUUAAGCUUCUGAAGCCCCCGCCCACCAUCACCCUCCGAUCUAAAACGGUCCCACAUCAGAACAUCAUCCACGAGCUUCUUCAAUUUCGGAAAGAUCGCAAUCAACGGCGAUUGGCUGUCCCUGUAGCUGGAUCCGAUGGGGCGAGAGAAUUCAUCCCUACCGCAUGUGGUUGCACGUGAACCCUCAUGCGGGUUGCCCCUCCCCCUAAUAAUUGGGAAUUUUUGGGGGUUAAGAGGAAACUAAUCAAUCAUGCAUGUAUUUGUGUAAUUUGUGAGUCGUGAUCGUAUAAGGCUAACACGUUAAUUAUUUGGAGUUUGGUUUAAUUUUGCUUAAGGUUAUAAUAAUAGUAUAAUUAAUCAUUCGAUUUGGAAUGAACAGUGUGUUGUUCUGUUCUGUUCUGUUCUGUUUUGUCAUCCACAAAUAAUAAUAUAUAUAACGAUGAUAAUGUGUUGUUUCAUCAAUCAUUAUGUACCUUUUUUGUUUUGAUACUUUUGGCAUGGCCAUGAAAUAAAACACCACGUCCCUCUGCAAUUUCCUGUCUCCUCUCACUCUCUCAUUUUAUCCUUCAUACUGUGUAUGUAACAAUUGUCUAUUUGUCUAGUGUUAUAAUGGAUCUUAGGGAAUGUUGUAAGCGACAACUCUCAGUGGAUAUUGUCACAUAGAAAGUGAAGACAGUCUUCCACUGAGUUAGUGCCUUCUCCCUAUCCGUUAAUUAAAUCACAGUUUUCACCUAAAAUUGAAGUUCAACGUGAACUCUAGUUUCAAUUCUCAUGUUUAGUUAUUAAAUCAUUAUUGGUGCCAACAGUUUGCGAAAAUAAUUAUAACAGUAAUUUUUUUGGCUUCCAAGGUCACUACGUGAGAUUACCGAUACAUGGUAGAGGAGUUUAACUAUACAUCAGUCCUACGUGUAUAUAAAAUAUAUGACGUGGAAGUACGGUCAACCAAAACUGAAAGUGCAAAACAAAACAAGGUUGGGAAACAAGCUAGCUAGCUAUUCAUGCUCUUUCUGCCUCUCCCCUUCUCAUCUCUCAACAUUUCGCGUCAAAUCUUUCGCAGCUAAUCUUUCCAUCCAUCUUUGCUCAACCGGCUGCGCGAUGCAAGACCUUUCGAGGACAAGCUAGGCGUGACGGGCAUUGCUGAUGGAGUCUUAGGCAUCUCUUCAUCACCACCACCAUCAUCAUCAUCCCAACCGUCUCCCCAGUUGUUGUCCCAUCCAUCAUCUGAUUGCGUCUUCUUCCCCAUACCUGAAACAGGCAAGUCCAUGUCUAGCCUUUGGUAAUUUGAGCUUGCAUUGUUGGACAGUUUCCUCCUCCUUGCUAUGGUAAUCCACAGCCCACGCGCUGAUGCUGCUACAAUUAAUAACCCAGCGAAGCAUGCUAGGAAGAGAGGGAGAUUGGAGGUUGUUGCAUAAGUGGACCCUUGAGAGUUUUCUAUGUUGUCUGAUCCGGAGUGAUGAUCGAUCAGAUCAGUUAUGUCAAGGCUGCAGCUGCUGCUGGCUCCCGUCUUUAGAACGAUGGAGCUCUCCCGUCCCUUGCCAUUGAUGGACACUUUGACCUGUGCAGUCAUGAGUCAUGACCAGCAAACAUCAUCCUUUUGCAGGGUAAUAGUAAACAAGGAAAAGCCAAAUGCAAAUUGUCUAAGCUUGUCAGGGAAAACAAAUUCAGAACUUUGCAUAAGAAUUUUGAGAAUGAACAAACAAUAAUGUUUAGGAAGUAUGGCAGCAUGCAGCUAGAAUUCUUACACUUGCAAAUCAUUUCCAGUACGAUCUAUUGAGAAAUGAGUAUCAAGAAGCAAAAGCAAGAGUUGCGUUUUUGUGCAAUCUAACAGAACAUAACAGAGAGUAACGACAUUGCUAAACAACAAGGAGAGGGCAUGGUUGAAUUCGCAAUUUACAAAUUUCUGCGCCAGGCACAUAAAAAUAUCGUUCUGAACAAUGUUCUAAGGGGGGAUAUAGUACCUUUUUGUGUUCUUUUUGCUGCAGUUGAAUGCUUUUCUUCUCCAGCUGAACAAACUCCGGACUCAAAAUCAUGACGCUGACUGGAACUUCUCCAUCGUUCUGAAUCAGAAGUAAUAGGUCUGGAGAAUCUGGGAAUCAUGAUUGAUCAACCCUCAUAAUUCAGACAUUGCAAUCUGGAAUAGUAGUAUUAGGAGAAUUUGUGCUUCUAAAUGUAGAACUAGACAAAAGAAAACUAAUCCCAAUAGGCCUACUCAUCACUAAUUUCAGUCACCAUUCAGCAUGUACAAAGUAUCUAACUCUCAGAAACUUCCAAACCAAAUGAACUCAAACAAGUUCUAGACUCUAACAGAGAAUUAAAGCAACUUGCUAAAGAAGGAAACACAUACAUACCAUUUCCAGGAACUCUAAUGCAAGCAACCAGAUUGCUGUCCUGAAUCAAGCACUUGUUGGAAGGAUCACAUUCUUCACCAUGUGAAAUCUCCUUCCCUCCUUGCUCAUUCUUUAAAUCCACCUCCUCCUGUUUAGUUGCCUUCUCAUCAUUCAGCUUCUCAUUUCCACUUUGCCUAGCAUUACCUUCACUGCCUUUACCAGUCUCCUUAUCCCCAACUUGGACGUUCAAGUCUUUCUUUUCCCCACCAUUAACAACACCACCUUUCUUUACCUCAUUCACUUGAUUCACAACUCCUUUAUCCUCCUCCUCCUUUGGGUUUUUUUCGUUUUGCCCACCAUCAUCUGUAACACCUAAUUUCAGCUCGCCAGCUUUCUCGUUUGAGCUGUUGUUAGGUUUCAACUUCGGAUCCGGAUUGUUUUUCCCAUUCACAUCCACCUGCUCAAUCCAAGCUUCAACACAGAAUCAAUUACCCACCCAAAAGAAAGAAAUUAAACAAACCAAACAUUCCAUUGAUUACCUUUGUAUCAUCAGCCCAGGACAAGCCAGCGAGGAGUAAUACAACAACAAGAAGAAGCAGAACCCGAAGAUGAGCUAGAUCGAUUUCCAUAUUUGGGAGAAGAAGCUAGUUCCUUAAAUCAGCAAAGACCACUGUUGGGUAGCAAAGUAAAACACACAAGGACCCAAUGAUUCAAAUCUUUCAGGCGGGUUUUACGAAACCAGAUGAAAAAGAGUGAGGAACUAGAAAGAACGGACCUCGGGGGAAAUCAGUACCGUUGACUGGUAGCUGUGUCGCAUGGUGAUUAGCUGUUGAAAAUACGCUGUAGAGGAGAUGAUUGAUUGAUUAUGAAAGGGUGGCGUAUUGUUCUGGGGAUUGGGACGAAGUUAGCAGAGGAGACGCAAGGUUGACCAAUGCUUACAGUCCUUUGCCUCCUCUUCCUACUUCUUCUUCUUUUUACCUUUUUUCCUAUUUUAGUAUUAUUAUUCUCUGUUUUUUACUUUCCUUUUUUAAUCCAAGCUAGUUGGAUCAUGGUUGAAACUAACAAAUGGGCUUCUGAUGGGCUUUCUUGAUAUCUGUGAGCGUUUCCGUAAAACCCAAUAAGCCUCUAAUUGACCCACCCAUUUCCAACCCUAGACACUCAUAUCCUCUUUAAUUGUAUAACCCUAUAGUGUAUAUAACAAGAAGGUACAACUUGAGGAAGUAUAUCAUGUUCUUGGAAUCAAGAAGAACCUGUUGUCUAUUAGUCAGCUCACAGUAACAAGAAAUUACGUCGUGUUCGGCUCAGAAGAUGUCAAAGUCUGUAAGGAGGUAAAAGUAGUUGGUGCACCCCUAAUGAAAGGAGUAAAGAAGAAUACCAUUGACGGGAUGUCUGUUAAGUCGGCUUUUGUAGACCAUACAAGAAGAAACGACACGGUCGACUUGUGGCACGCGCGACUUGGUCAUGUCAGCUAUCAUAAGCUGAAGGCGAUGAUGAAGAAGCAUGUUGUUAAAGGUCUUCCCCAAAUGGAGUUCCAAGAUAACAUAGUCUGUGCAGGAUAUCAAUAUGGUAAGGCACACCAACUUUCCAAUGAAGAAUCACACUAUAGAGCAAGAGAAUCUCUAGAGCUUAUUCACUCAAACGUAUUGUUAACCACUUGUCAAUCAGUGGAUGUUGUUACAUGGUUACAUUCAUUGAUGAAUACUCCGAAUACGUAUGGGUGGACUUCAUGAAGGAGAAGGGAGAAACAUUCUCAAAGUUUAAGGAAUUUAAAGAGAAGGUAGAAAGUCAGCUCGGGAGGAGGAUAAAAACAUUACACACAGAUAAUUGGGGAGAGUAUACAUCUGAUGAGUUUCAAACCUAUCUGAAGGAUAACAAGAUACGUUGACAAUUGACAUGUCCAAGAACGCCUCAACAACACGGGUCGCUGAGAGGAAGAAUAGACACCUUGCAGAAACUGUUAGGAGUAUACUACAUGCCAAAAAUGUACUUGGAAAAAUUUGGGCCGAGUACAUGAAGACAGUUGCCUACAUCAUCAACAAGCUACCUCAAGAAAAGUUAAUAUUCUUAUCACCAUUUGAAAAGCGAUGGAACGUGAAGCUCACAAUUGAUCACCUUAGAAUUUUUGGAUGAAUAUGCUACAUACUAUCCUCAAAGCCAGAGCCAGGAAGUAGUAAAUUCGACAAGAAAGCAAAGGAGUGCAUCUUUCUUGGAUAUGACAGUGAGCAGAAAGGCUGGAGGUGUUGUGAUCCAACAACCAACAUGUGUAUCGUAGACAAAGCUGGCCAUACUUAACUGGAGUUCAGCUAAAGCGAAGACGAUUAGAUAGAAUAGAACACUGAACAUUAUUUGUCAAACCAAACCGUAAAUAUCGUUAAUUGAUUGCACGAAACAAGUUCCGAGUUCGAUACGUAACAAACAAAACACAAGACCAAAAGGCACAAGUCUACCGGUACACAUUAAGAUAAGACGACCACCAACAACCAAAAAUAGAACACUAAAGCGAAAUAAAAAGUGUUUUUAACUUCCAAGCCCCGCUACCAUUCACUCUCUUUCUAGCACUUGACCUCCUUCAAAGCCUGGGGGAGGUACAGAAAU